rnacentral:lncRNA from 11 species
GAAACAUGCCAGGGAACUGGAAAGAAAGGGCUGUGAACUUUGACCAUGUUUAUUAUGUCCAAAUGGGGCAUGCCUGUUUGCAAACCUAUGAGGACGUCUACGCAAACAGCAUGGUGCAUGUUAAUAUUGGUCUGUUUUAUUUGCAUCUCCAAAAAGGAAUAAACGAGAAACUUUGUUGAUUAAAGUUGCCAGUAUUAACUGUUUUUAUGCAGUUCAAAGGUGCUUACUCCAAAACAACACUGUGGGAUAUCCCAGCAAACUGAACUGUUCGGCAGUGCAAAGGAGCCAGAGCAAAAGAAGCAAGAUUUCUCACUAUGUUUUUAGCAAUAUUGCAACCCACCUGGAGCCACGAGGAGAAACUGAUUCAACCUGUGCUAUCUGUCUGAAAGGAUCUGAUUACACGCUACCUUUAGUUCUGCAAGCAUACCAAUUUAAUACAAAUUGUCAACUGUACAAUGAAAAACAAAAAAUUAAAGGAAGAAAUCAGUUUUAAUGUGCAUCAUCAUCAUCUAUGAAACAGAAUGGGCAUAAGAUGUUCCCAAUCUGGUCUGGGUAGUUUAUGCACUUCAUUAG